GACGAACGCUGGCGGCGUGCCUAAUACAUGCAAGUAGAACGCACAGUUUAUACCGUAGCUUGCUACACCAUAAACUGUGAGUUGCGAACGGGUGAGUAACGCGUAGGUAACCUGCCUGGUAGCGGGGGAUAACUAUUGGAAACGAUAGCUAAUACCGCAUAAUAUUAAUUAUUGCAUGAUAAUUGAUUGAAAGAUGCAAUUGCAUCACUACCAGAUGGACCUGCGUUGUAUUAGCUAGUAGGUGAGGUAACGGCUCACCUAGGCGACGAUACAUAGCCGACCUGAGAGGGUGAUCGGCCACACUGGGACUGAGACACGGCCCAGACUCCUACGGGAGGCAGCAGUAGGGAAUCGUCGGCAAUGGACGAAAGUCUGACCGAGCAACGCCGCGUGAGUGAAGAAGGUUUUCGGAUCGUAAAGCUCGGUUGUAAGAGAAGAACGGGUGUGAGAGUGGAAAGUUCACACUGUGACGGUAUCUUACCAGAAAGGGACGGCUAACUACGUG
rnacentral:rRNA from 1 species